rnacentral:rRNA from 1 species
UAGAGUUUGAUCAUGGCUCAGAUUGAACGCUGGCGGCAGGCCUAACACAUGCAAGUCGAGCGGUAACAUGUCUAGCUUGCUAGAUGAUGACGAGCGGCGGACGGGUGAGUAAUGCUUGGGGAUCUGCCUUAGAGUGGAGGAUAACCAUUGGAAACGAUGGCUAAUACUGCAUAGUAUCUGCGGAUUAAAGGGGGCUUCGGCUCUUGCUUUAAGAUGAACCCAAGUGGGAUUAGCUAGUUGGUGUGGUAAUGGCUCACCAAGGCGACGAUCCCUAGCUGGUCUGAGAGGAUGAUCAGCCACACUGGAACUGAGACACGGUCCAGACUCCUACGGGAGGCAGCAGUGGGGAAUAUUGCACAAUGGGCGAAAGCCUGAUGCAGCCAUGCCGCGUGUGUGAAGAAGGCCCUAGGGUUGUAAAGCACUUUCAGUCAGGAGGAAAGGUUAGUAGUUAAUACCUGCUAGCUGUGACGUUACUGACAGAAGAAGCACCGGCUAACUUCGUGCCAGCAGCCGCGGUAAUACGAGGGGUGCAAGCGUUAAUCGGAAUUACUGGGCGUAAAGCGAGCGUAGGCGGCUGAAUAAGCUGGAUGUGAAAAACCGGGGCUCAACCUCGGCCGUGCAUUCAGAACUGUUUAGCUAGAGUCCUGUAGAGGGGGGUAGAAUUUCA